rnacentral:lncRNA from 1 species
GGCCUCCAUCUUGAAAACGGAAAAUAAAAACAGCAGACCUAUGAAGGUCGAAGGGGAAGAAAAGCUGUAUCGAUUGUUGAGAUCUGGCGACUUGUUUAAAUUUCAUCAGCCUCACUUCUAUGAACUCUCAGAGCUGAUUACCAACUCCUACCACUGUUAACCCUCAUCCAGGAAAAAGCUUAUGUCUUUAACAUUCUGAGUGGGCUUCAGCAUCCUUGCAUAUGUUCAAUUCUUAAAAACCUGUUGAAAUAAAAGAUCAGGAGACAUAGGAAGGAUGCCAGAAGAGAGCGUGGCCUCAUGUGUACCAGCUCUCUGCUCUCCUUUGCCUUGGGACGUUCCAUCCCUGGAAGUUUCCCUGCCCACAUCUUUGUAGAGAGUCCAUUCUCCAAGCUUCAGUGUGUCAUCUGUGAGGACUGUGACCAACCUGGUACAUCGCCUCAGGGCAUUCAUUUCAGGCUCCUUCUAAAUGGUCAAGACAAAACACCAACAUUUUUGUAAUGGCCUGCAAGGCCUUCCGAGAUCUGCCUCCUGCAACUCAGCUUCUCCUGUGCUCUCCUUCUGGACUCACUCUGCCUCAGCAACACUGGUCCCUGUUGCCCCACCAAUAUACCAGGGUCUUCCUCUGCCACCCAGGCUGGAGUGUGCAGCAGCAUGACCAUGGCUCACUGCAGCUUCAACCUCUCAGGAUUAGGUAAACCUCAGGUUCUCCUCCUGCCUUUUGCUAAGUAUAUGUCUUGAUGACAAGCCUUCUGCUGAUGAGCUGUGUUUCUGGACCGAUCAUGGUAGAAGUCAAUUAACGUGUCCCUCACUUGGGGUUUCUCAAGGCUGCACUGAUGAGGAAACUGAAACAGAAAAUCCAGAGUAAAUUCCACCAGGCCACACAGCAAGGUCUGAUAGAGCCAGGAGAGACUUUAUGAAAUCCAGACUCUCACACUAAUGCUCUAUCAGCUAGACCUCCAUGUGAGUCUCCCCAAUGUAGGUAGGAAGUGCUUUCCC